CUAACGUGGACCCGUAAUCCGGGUUGCGGACAGUGUCUGGUGGGUAGUUUGACUGGGGCGGUCUCCUCCUAAAGAGUAACGGAGGAGCACGAAGGUUGGCUAAUCCUGGUCGGACAUCAGGAGGUUAGUGCAAUGGCAUAAGCCAGCUUGACUGCGAGCGUGACGGCGCGAGCAGGUGCGAAAGCAGGUCAUAGUGAUCCGGUGGUUCUGAAUGGAAGGGCCAUCGCUCAACGGAUAAAAGGUACUCCGGGGAUAACAGGCUGAUACCGCCCAAGAGUUCAUAUCGACGGCGGUGUUUGGCACCUCGAUGUCGGCUCAUCACAUCCUGGGGCUGAAGUAGGUCCCAAGGGUAUGGCUGUUCGCCAUUUAAAGUGGUACGCGAGCUGGGUUUAGAACGUCGUGAGACAGUUCGGUCCCUAUCUGCCGUGGGCGCUGGAGAACUGAGGGGGGCUGCUCCUAGUACGAGAGGACCGGAGUGGACGCAUCACUGGUGUUCGGGUUGUCAUGCCAAUGGCACUGCCCGGUAGCUAAAUGCGGAAGAGAUAAGUGCUGAAAGCAUCUAAGCACGAAACUUGCCCCGAGAUGAGUUCUCCCUGAGACUAUAAGUCUCCUGAAGGAACGUUGAAGACGACGACGUUGAUAGGCCGGGUGUGUAAGCGCAGCGAUGCGUUGAGCUAACCGGUACUAAUGAACCGUGAGGCUUAACCUUACAACGCCGAAGCUGUU
rnacentral:rRNA from 1 species